rnacentral:sRNA from 1 species
GGAUCACCGGCUCAUCGCGACGGGUAUCGGGCUGGUAAAAAUAGACCGUCCUGCUCAGCGAUAAUGUCCUGUAUGCCUGGCGUACGCUCAUCGAAAACAUCUCUUUCACAUCCCUGACGAGCUCACGCUUUAUCGCUGGUUUU